rnacentral:rRNA from 1 species
CCUACGAGGGGCAGCAGUGAGGAAUAUUGGUCAAUGGGCGGAAGCCUGAACCAGCCAAGUCGCGUGAGGGAAUAAGGCCCUACGGGUCGUAAACCUCUUUUGCCGGGGAGCAAGGGCGGGGACGUGUCCCGGCCCGGAGAGUACCCGGAGAAAAAGCAUCGGCUAACUACGUGCCAGCAGCCGCGGUAAUACGGGGGAUGAGAGCGUUAUCCGGAGUUAUUGGUGUUAAAGGGUGCGUAGGCGGGCUUUUAAGUCAGCGGUAAAAAUUCGGGGCUCAACCCCGUCCGGCCGUUGAAACUGGGGGCCGUGAGUGGGCGAGAAGAAGGCGGAAUGCGUGGUGUAGCGGUGAAAUGCAUAGAUAUCACGCAGAACCCCGAUUGCGAAGGCAGCCUUCCGGCGCCCUACUGACGCUGAGGCACGAAAGUGCGGGGAUCGAACAGGAUUAGAUACCCGGGUAGUC